rnacentral:rRNA from 1 species
CACGUAGGCGGCUUCUUAAGUCAGGGGUGAAAUCCUGGAGCUCAACUCCAGAACUGCCUUUGAUACUGAGAAGCUUGAGUCCGGGAGAGGUGAGUGGAACUGCGAGUGUAGAGGUGAAAUUCGUAGAUAUUCGCAAGAACACCAGUGGCGAAGGCGGCUCACUGGCCCGGUACUGACGCUGAGGUGCGAAAGCGUGGGAGCAAACA